GCCGCUGACAUACAUCACAAGAACGCACAAAAUCCCUUACGAAAUUUUUCAUCCCCUGCCAAUAGAAAUCUCUAGUGAUUCUGUAUAAUGUCUUCUGGUAACCUUCAUGACUUUGGUUGUGAAGAGCACUAACAACCAGCUGAAUUGAUGGGGAAUUGGGAGGCAGGUAAACUCUGUUAUUGUAGAAGAGUAACCCAUCCCGAAAAACCCAUUUUGAAGCGACUGUUCCAUUGGUAAUUGCAGAGAUUUG
rnacentral:misc_RNA from 1 species